ensembl:lncRNA
GGUGGUGGUGGUGGUGGUGGGUGGAGAGGGGAUGGGAGAGAAAAAAUGUGGGAUGCAGAUGUCUGAGGGUUAUGUGCUGCCCCAAUGCUGCUUCCCUUGUGAAGCUGAGAGUCGUGGGGGAUGGACAUCCUGAAUGAGGACAGUGUACAUUUCUCAGAGGCAGCUUUUCUUUCUUUUCUUUUAAAAAGGCUGCUCUGUGUAGCAUGUGGGAUCUUAGUUCCAUGACCAGGGAUCGAACCUGUGCUCCCUGCACUGGGAGUGUGGAGUGUUAAUCACUGAACUGGCAGCUUUUCUUCUUGCAGUGCAAUUAGGUGUGAAAACUUUCAUGCAUCAGGGGAAAGCCCUGAGAAGAGGUCCAGAGUCAGGAGGCAGCCACAACUGCGGCCUUGGUGGGGCAAGGAGAGGGAUAAAAGAAGGGGAAAGAAAGAAGCUAAACAGAGCAUGGGCAGGUGGGGGACAAAAACAAGAAACAAAAUAGGAGUAAGGGAAGGGGAGAACAACAGAAAAAGAGAAUCGAGACGAGAAGGAGAGGAGAGCAGUUCAAUUGAUUCCAAUAAGUAUUUUGUGGGAGAGAGAAGUGUUUUUAUAUAAUAAGUAUCUAUCAAAUCUGCUUCCUGCCCUCCAAGAGCUUACAGGUUAGUUAAAAUGCUCAGUCACACAGCUCAUCCUGGAACAAAAUAUGACAGAAUAUAAAGCAGAUGUCAGCGUCAUGGAACAUGAGAAAGAAGGGCAGAGGUAAUUGUGGGAAGACUUGGUAGAGGAGGUGGGUCUUAAGAAUCUUCUAGAAGUUUGGUGAGCUAGGUAGGCAGAGGUGUGGGGCAGGCAUUCCUGGUAUUAGAGAAACAAGGAAAGGAAUAGGAGUAAAGAAAAGACAAACGAAAAGUUGAAGCCUGCCACUGAGCUGCCUUAGUUACCACACAAGCCACAACUAUAAUACCUUACCCCUUUUAUUCAAAGAAAUUAGAAAAUUCCUAGAGGACCUGGUAAUCUCAGGCACCUGGGUGGCCUCAGACAGAGGUUCCCAGUCAGCCCACCUGAGGCCACAGACUCGUAUAAGAGUCUCACCUGGCAGAUUCCCAAGCAUCCCCGCUCUCCUCCAUACAAUGGCCCUGAACCAAAUAACUUCAGAGUGUGUUUCCUAAGAAGAAGGACAUUCUCAAACAUUCACAACAUCAUUAUCACACUUAUGGGGAAAAAUUAGCAACAUGCUUCAUUGUAUUAUCUAACAGACAUUUCCCACUAAAAAUUUCCAAAUCAUCCCCCAAAUGUCUUUCAUAGCAUGUUUUAAAAAAUCAAGAAUCCAAUGAAGGCUGCAUAUUGCAUAUGGUGUUUGUUUGUUUGAAUCUAGAAUGGUCACCCCCCUGACUGCUUUUUAAUAAGUUUUUUUAAUGACACUGACUUUUGUGAAGAGUCCAGACCAACCAUCUAUAGAAUGUGCCACAUCCUGGGUUUAUAAGGUUGUUUCUUAUGGUUAGAGUCAUUAAUAACUUAAAUAUUUUUUGGCAAAAAUAAUCCAUAAGUGGGCUUCAUAUCAAAAGGCUUAAAUAAUAUCAGAUUGUUCCACUAUUGGUGAUGCUCAGUUUGAUCACUUAAAGCAAUAACCAUCAAAUCUCUCCAAACCAAACAUUUUCCCUUUUGUAAUUAAUAAUUUGUGAGGAAAUAUACUGAUGUUGUAUGAACAUCCAGUUACUUUUACUCAGUGGUUAACAUCUGGUUAUGGUCCU